CACGUGUCUAAAGGUAUCCGAAAAAAGAUGGUGGCAGCCAGUAAGGAGAAAAACUGUGAAGCUCUGGAACUGUGGGUGAAGCCAGUGAUAAACCAUCUCUACCACUGCGUCACCCAUAGUGAAGGGGAUCCUGAACAAGUUAUCUCCAUGUGGCGUAGUUUCAACAAUCACGUUUCAAAUGUCCAUCAUGGUCAUGAUGGACCGUACUCACGGUGCCUUCACACACCCCUCAGUGAUCAAAAGCGCCCUUGGCUUCUGCCAGACUCUCGUCCAAAGGCAAAACUGACCGCCAUCACUGAGGCAAAGUA